GGCGUAGCUCAGUGGUAGAACAUCAGCUUUUCCUGAAAACGGUCCCAAGUUCAAUCCCUGGCAUCACCA